rnacentral:misc_RNA from 1 species
UGAAAAUGAACUUAAGUCUCUGAAAUUUGAAACUGGAAGCAGAUGUCCUUGUCCAGCAGCAGCCAGUUGUUUCCUAGCAGGUGAUGAGUCAAAACUAUGUAGUGAACAGGCAGCUUCUUCCAACGACAUACCUCGACCUUCUUCAUUGCAAGUUUCAUCUUGUGGGGCUGGGCAUGUCGAGAAGAUUCCUAUUUGUAAUGGCGUCUUGGAAAUUGUUCAUGGUGGUAGGAAGGAUGAUGAUGUUGAUAGUCCGGGAAGAACUGCAACUUCGAAAUUUGUUGAAUCAGCGUCUAUGGUGAUGGCAGUUUCUUCAUCUGAUUUGAUGAGACAGGAUGAGUGUUCUGAUGAUAUGGGUGUAAUUCAGACACCAAACAUGGUGUUGAAGUCUGUGGUGCCUUGUAGUAAUAGGCAAGACAUUGAUGAACCUGCUCACAGGGAUGUUAACUUGCUUACAGAGAGCAAAGAAGGUGCAUCUUU